rnacentral:rRNA from 1 species
ACGGAAGGCAGCAGUGAGGAAUAUUGGUCAAUGGGCGAGAGCCUGAACCAGCCAAGUAGCGUGAAGGAUGACUGCCCUCUGGGUUGUAAACUUCUUUUAUACGGGAAUAAAGUGAGCCACGUGUGGCUUUUGUAUGUACCGUACGAAUAAGCAUCGGCUAAUUCCGUGCCAGCAGCCGCGGUAAUACGGAAGAUGCGAGCGUUAUCCGGAUUUAUUGGGUUUAAAGGGAGCGUAGGCGGCCUUUUAAGUCAGCGGUUAAAUGUCAGCGCCCAACGUUGGCAUGCCGUUGAAACUGGAGGGCUUGAAUACACACAAGGUAAGUGGAAUUCGUCGUGUAGCGGUGAAAUGCUUAGAUAUGACGAAGAACUCCGAUUGCGAAGGCAGCUUACUGGGGUGCGAUUGACGCUGAGGCUCGAAAGUGUGGGAAUCAAACAGGAUUAGAUACCCUGGUA